AACAAAACUCAUUUUCUCUUCCUUUCCAAAACUCACGACCAUAAAACCCACAAAACCUACCCACAGCCCCCAUUGCUUGGAGGAAGCCAUUGCCGGAAAAAGCUUAUGGAAGCCAUGCGGAAGAAGCCCCAUGGAAGCUAUGGUCCGUAAAGCCAAAGCCACCUCCAAGAAACUCCCGUAAAAAUCGUUUCUCUCUAGGUUUUGGGUUUUGGUGCUUUUGGAAAAACCACACUUAAUUACUUCCCAAGGAAAUGUCACAUUGAAGAGGAAGAGUACAAAUAGCAUCUCCAGAAGAUGAGUUGGACAAUCUACAACAACUCUUAGAUAUACAACCUGCUGCAACUACUACUCCUAGUAGUUUUGAUCCUUCUGAUCCUUCUGAUUCUUCAAAUCCUUCUGUUGUUGGAUCAAUUUCAACAAUUACUAUCCCAACCUGAAGGGACAUCUUCUUCUACUUGUGCAUCAUCUGGAGCAUCUACAUCUGUAUCAUCUACAUCUGUAGCAUCUACAUAUGUAGAUGAGAUAUAUACUCAAGUCAUGGUUCCAGAGAGGCAUGGUCGUGUUCGAGGGUAUGGAUUUGGUCCUACUCCUACCUCAAUCUUUGGUUCUACUAGUAGAAGGCGAUCAGGAGUUAUUCUUUCAACACAACUUGAAAACGCCCAAGAGAUGCUAAUAUAGCUGCAGAACAAAAGUUUACAACUACAACUAAAGAACUCUCAAAUGUGAAAGAAACAUUUGAAAAGAGGUUGAUAGAAGUUCAAAAGAAGACACGUGAAGAAGUGAAAGAAGAGUUUGAAGAAAAAAUGAUGGAAAUGCAAAGAAAAAUGCAAGCACAAAUUCAAGAACAGAUGAUGCAAAUAAUGCAACAAUUUCAGCAAAAGCAGUAGAAAUUUGAAGAUUUUGCUACAUCUUUAUAUGAUAGAUUCUCUUUUUUUUUUUUGAAGAUUAUGCUACUUAUUUAUAUGAUAGAUUCUCCUAACUUUUUUUGCUUUCUAUAACUAUUAUGUGAUGUUUGGUUGGUUGAUUUGUUAUAUUAUGUUAGAAUGUGAAACUAAAUUUGAAUCUC